CAGCUAGAGUGUGCUCGGCUACUUCUGAGGCAUCGUUGGGCCGCUCUAUUACGUCACCUAGGCUCAGCGUGAAGACGCAGUAGGGAGCUGUGGAGAUGUGGCCAUGUCAUACGCAACAGGAGAUGCUCAAUUGCCGGUAUUGGGCCACUCUAGAGUUGAAUCAUUGAGCAAGGGUCGGCUAAGGCCGUGUGAUGCGCAGCAAGAAAUGGUACUCAACUGCCCGUACAUGUUGCUCCUAUGUAGAAUCUUUUAGGGUGACGAGGACAAAACUUGCUUUCGAGUGUGUCCUUCCAGUGUUGCGUUAGUCAGAAAACUUUACAUCCGCCAGGGUCUACGCCUUUAUCGUCGCGCGUCUGGAUUGGGCAGAAUAGUACGU
rnacentral:lncRNA from 1 species